CCUCUCCCUCACGGCCGGGGCCGCUCCCGCCAUGGCCGCCCCCUCACGGCGCCCUCAGGCCCCAGAGCCGCCUCCACGCGGCCGGGAACGACCCGCGGCCUCCUCCGCUGCUGUGGAACGUGCGUGUCUCACGAUUGGCUUUCCGCAAAUAUUGCAAUGAAUACUGUAUGUGUAAUGUUAGAAAGUUACGCUGUGUUAAUUUUCGAUCAGUCACGGAAUGGUCUGGGUUGGAAGGACAAGCAAUACAGGGGUAAAAAAACACGUCAAUAAACUCAUUGCGGAACACACCCCAUCUAAAACAGCAAAACAAACCCUUCUCUGUGUCUCCACGUUCAUCCCGAGAUGUUACUGCUCUGAAACAGAAAAAUCCCCAGCAGGACUCAACACCUACAGUGCCUAGAGAAGGGAAGAAUUUCUUCUCAAUGCUUUGUUUAAAUCUUUCACUUUCAAGCCAUUCCCACUUGUCCUGUUGGGCAAGAAACAGAUUCCUCACCCUGAGAAAAACUGAUACCUCAAAUAUUGUAUCUUCAUAAUAUAUAGAAUUAUUUA